CCCAGGGAGCUGGCGUCAGCCCCAGUUUUUUUCCCCCCCUAAGUCUCAACUCGCUCGCUGUCCCUCAGGGACUUCUUGUGCCAGACUGCCUACCCACCCUAGGCAGCACUGUGCAGAAACGCGGCUGCCGGGCGUGCGGCAGUCCCUGCUGUCUCUCCUGGAGGAUGGAAGAUGCAGGUGACCUGCCCUGAGCUUCCCUCAUGAGUGAACAAACGCCAGCUCCGAGAGGUGGAUUCACAUGUCCAAGGUCACACAGCAAGAACGCAAUCAUGGUGCUCUUGGAAAUGCCCCCCUCCCCGUGGUUGUGUGCACGACUGACCCUGCACCUCUGGCCACUGUGAGGCCUCAAAAAUAUUGACUUUUCAAAAUGCCAAGCCAAAUCCAAGGUUGAAAGCCACAUCAGCCCAACCGCCUGGUAUGAUCUCCGAGCCGCCCCCUCGCCUCUGUCCUGAGUAAAUAUUUGCUCUCCAGACACCAGACUUGCCAAAAUGAAACCACCAAGUGUUUCCUUGUCAUGGACGUGGUUGGUUGGCCCCUUCCUGUCCCUACAUCACAAUGGCGCACUUGGUCUUUUGCCCAUGGGUCUGGCUCAGAGCUAUACAAAGGGUGACCAUAUACCUCAGUGAUCAGCCAGCGAAGAACUCAGAACCCAGGUCCCCUUGUCCACAGGGAGACUAGCCCGGGGUCAGUUGGGGACAGAGCUCACCAGACCCCUGUGUGUCCCCAACUCUGUCGCUGCUCAAGUCUAUGGCCAGGCCUCCACGUUAGCCCUGAGCUCAGGAGUCCCCAACGACUCAGCACACAGACACCAGCCCGAGUGAACUCUGUCCCCCGGCUCCUGUCAUCGCUGUCCCCCGAGUACUAGCUGUGACCAAACACCAAGCACCCUGUCCCACACCAUGUAUGAUGUCACAGACAGGGCGAUGAUGUCACUGUAGUGCAAUACCAUGUGACCUCACAGUGUUAAGCCAUUACAUCACCAAAUUACAUCACACACUACCCUGCGGCCUGUCGCUCAACUGUGUCUCAGUCACACCUCAUCUGCUCAUGCCAGCAAGAAGCUCCACCCACAUUUUACAGAUGGAGAGCACAAAGCAGGGAGAAGGGACAGAUGUGACCGGUCCAGUGUCAAACAGCGCAACACAGAAAGGCUGUGGAUCUCGGCUUUCGGCCUGCUUUGGAGAGACAAGAGCAGGAGAGAGCCGGGAGCCAGAUGCUGGCUGCUAGCUCCGGCUUCCAGUGUCACCACGUGUUCUGGGAGUUGGGCUAUAAAAAGCAUUACUCCUGAAUCUGGGGCAGCACAGGCGUCCCCCCAGAGGGCUGUUUCUGCAAAUGCUAUUCUCUCCAGGAAACUCUGGGGACGCCGCAGGCAUCCUGAAAGCAAACCGUAUCUUCCUUACAUAAGGAAUCUGCAAAACUGGAGACCUGUGGGGACCAGGAAGGAACUGAGGAUGCGGACCACAUUGUGACAUGGGGCAGAGAGCCUGCGGGUCUCACGAAGGGAAGAACUUGUCAGUCACUCAUUCAUUCAUUCACUCAUUCACUCAUUCAACAAAUGGUUAUUCCACAUACAUCCAAGCUGACAGGGAACAUAGCUGUGCUCACUCCCUGUGCAGCUCAGCCUCUCUAAAUCUACAGAAUUGAAAGAGAAGCUCUCCACCCCUUGCCGGGCCACCUCAAGCCCGGGGACCUGGGGUUGGGGGCACUGCUCCUUCCCAGAUCUGGAUUGAGCAUAUACCUUCAAGAUUUCUCGAUCUAGCAAAAGAGAAAGCCAAAAAGGAAAAGCUGACAUGUGCCUGUGACCCAAGAACUGGGGGACAGAAACAGAGAUGGCAAACCCAACGCAAUGAGGAGAUGGGUUAUCUGGGAGGGGUUUGGAUGGAUGAAUAGGAGUGCUUCCAGUACCGAGAUGGGAAUGGCCAGAAGUGUGGCCAUGUUUAGUCUUGACUCUGGGAGGUUGACAAACUACAUAUAUCCCUUCCCAGAGUGAAGGCCACAUCUUCUCCCUCCUCCUCGCUUCCCUCUGGCCAGACAGCCCUAGGCUAUUUCCCACUUUACCCAGGAGGUCUCUUCCCUCAGUCUCUUUCCGUUCCUUCCUGGGCCAUAAGACCAAGCUGAGGAAGUGGACUAUCACGCUGUUGAUAAGAGCGCUGUAAUAAAACCGUUACUCAGAGGUGUUCAGAUCUGA